GAAGCCUGCAGGCAGAGGUCUGUGCGCCCCUGUUGCGCUCCCUCCUGAGCUGUGCUCAGCCCCAGCUGGGUGUUUUGGGUCAUGAGCGUCAAAGGCGGCUCAAAGGUCAAAGGCGGCUUCCCUGUCCCCUCUCUAGUCUGGCUGCCUUUCUGUUCCUUGCUUCAGGAGCCAGAACCUCCAGCGUGGGACGCGGCAGGACUGGCCAGGGCAGACACAGCAGCUCCUGGUCACGCCUGAUGGCUCUCGCCUUCCGGGUCACUGUGCCGUCACUGUCACUGCGUCACUGUGGGACUUUCACAGAUGCCCCACGCCAGGUGGUGCUGAGGAUCAAACCCAGUACCUCACAAGUGUGAGGCAAACGCUCUACCACGGAGCCACAACCCCAGCCCCAGGAAUGGAUUUUGCCAAAUGCUUUUGUUUUUAGUUUUUUGCAUCUAUUUUGAGAUAAUCACCUGUUUUUUCCCCCUCUGUUAGGAAUUGCAUUGAUUGCUUUCCAAAUGUUAAGCCAACCUUUGUUCCUGAGAUGGACUCCAUCUGGUCAAGCUGAAUUGUCCUCUUAAUAUAUCAUUGAAUUUGAUUUGCUAAAA